ACAUGCUUCCAUAAAUAAUGUUCCAAAAUGUUUCAAAUGUGCCAUGCCUUAAAGUUCUAUAACUGCCUCUUGCAAGAAUCAUAGUGGUGAUAAUCUGAGUUUCUCAGCUAUAUCAUAUUCUUAAAAAAUAUUAUAUUAGAUAUUAAUAUUAUAUUAUAUUAGUGGUUAUUUUAUGAUUUUUCUAAAUGGCAUUCUUGUUUUCAUUUGGUUACUCUUUGAUUUGAUGGUCAACUCGUUCCCAAAGGAAUUGGUAACUGAUUAGAAGUUGGUUGGGAAAUAUAAAUCUAAGUCAUGUAUUUCAACUACAUGUACAUGUAUCAUUAUGUCAACUGUAUGAGAUAAGUAGUUAAGGGGGUGCUUAUAAGCUCAAAAUUACCAUUUUUCAUUUGAUGAGGGGUUUGUAUGAGUAAAAAGUAGGACAAAAGUGGAUGGGUUAAUAAAUUCAAGGUGGUGGCAGCAGAUGGCUGGAAUAUGGAAGAGAAUGGGUGGAGAAAUGGGACAACAAAAGCUGUGCAUGUACAGUGAAUUGACUUUUCACAUGGGGUGUUGUAAAAACAAAAUAAAAGUAAAUUUUGGCAUUGUGAUUGAGGUGUAAAGAGAUCAAUGGUGAAACUGGUGAACAUGUAUUGAACAUUAUGAAAGUUUGGGGACUAAAAAAGAUUGUCAACCAUGACGUCAUGGUAGACAUGGUUCUGUCCAAAGAAGAUAUGCGACAAAUGAUCUCUUGGGCAAGAAAGUAGAAGCUGGGCCAAUUUUUUUUACAUUGCACGAGACAAUGGUUUCAAUCUACAUUCUUACAUUGUAAAUAAGUACUCCUAGCAAAAUAGGUCCGUAAUGCGUACAUGUGGGCUUAUGCUUAGUUUUAUUCCAUUUGGCUGGGGUUUGUUUUUAAAUGUAGGUAUCUGGGAGUUGAAUUGCUACAAGUGAGGAGGCAAUCACUGGAAAGAUAAAGAUGUCUACAGAUUUUUUUGGAUUUCUGGUAUCAACAUAGACAAGUUGUAGCAAUUUUUAAGUGGGAAACUCAUAGGCAGAUUCAGCAGAGGGGCCGAGGGGAGGAGCUGAGGAGGCCACAGCCCCCCUUUUUUCUUGUAUUUUCAAAAUGUUUUUGUAUGACCCCAACCCUUCUAACCGUCCUUUGAGUGUUGUUAUAAUUAUACAAUCAGGUUUCAAUUUUAUUCAAUUUUGCAGCUUUCUUUAUUUAAAAUAUAUUUUGUGUUAACAAUUAUAAUAUAUUAUCAAAUAUUCAAACAAACAUAACCCAAAAAUUAAAAUUCGCGCUAAUUGUUAACGCCAAAUGUAACAUACGUUUCUUUCGGUUUGAAAUGAUGAGGAUCACUGGACACGAAUAUUGUCACGCCGUGUUCCUUGCUACACUGCUGAAGAGUGAAAUAUUUCUCUGAAGUUUUCGAGGAAAGCAGAGAAGACACUGUUUACAUUUCAUCGUGAACCAGGUGAGUAUGUUACUUAUUUGACCUAGUUAAACGUAAUGGGUUUUUUUUUUAGAUCUGUAUCUGUCUGUUAGCAGGCAAUGUUUGAGCUCUGCCUUGGAGACUUUGUUUGGUGAUCAUCUGCCCCAGCAAAAAGGCAAAUGAAGUAAAAAAUAUUAAACUUUAGCUUAUAUUAAAGCACUCAAUGUAAUGAUUUGUCGCAAAAGGUUUUGCAUAAAAUGAUUUAUAAUCCUGAGUUAAUUUCUCGAUAGAAAAUUCUUACAGAAAUGAUUAGAAUCAUUACAGCAAUAACAGUUUGCUGAUGAUGUUUCAAAAAUGGAUCAGUUGUUUCUACUUGUGCCAGGUGAAAGUGAGUUUUAAAGAGCAAGCUUGAUUAUCAUUCGGUGUUUUUAUGAUAAGUAACGUUUCCCUCCUAGAAUGUUUCACUGUAGGACUCAGCCGUUUGUUACAGGGUUCCACACUAGAUGUUAUUUAGGCAACAAGCAUGUUGACGUUGUGAAGGAACAGCUGAAAGGAACAACGCCACCGUAAAAUCCACGACACUGCAAGAGACGUUGAAAGCCUGCAGCUCAAGCCUCUACCUCAAUGUCUACACAAUUCUGCACCUCCUGUUAAUCACCCCAGUCACAAGUGCAACUGUUGAACGUAGCAACUCUUCACUGCGCUUUGUGAAGAAUGUUUAUCGCAGCACCAUGGAGAAGAGCGUAUAAAUGCACUGUUGCUGCUCUUUAUUCACAAAGACAUACCUUAAAAUUAUAAUGCAGUUGUUGAAGAGUACGCCAAACGAAACCAGAGAAGGAUGACAUUUAUCAAUCCACUGCAGUGAUAUAUUUUGAUUAAUACUGGAUGUAUAAAUGCAAUGCAAUGACUCUGUUAACAGUUCGCCUACCACUAACACUAUGAUUUUGCUUUGAAGAUCGUUUUAUGAAAUGCUCUUUAAUUCUAUCUUCUGAAACGUCAACGUUACUUUACUUUGCAUCACGAAUACGCCCACAAUCAUUUAUGCUGCAUCUCCUGAAAAGUGAAGUUUUCAUUCGGGGGGAAGGGUGGGAGACUCGGCCCCCUCUUUCUGAAUUUUCUGGAUCCACCCCGAAAUUUAUUGCAGAAUACUGUUUACUUACUUACGUUAUCCUCCAAUAAUAAUUAGCUCUUAGUCCCUAUGAGACGUAACACAACAGCAGUCUCUCUUCAUUUAGCCCUGUUUUGUGCAGCAUUCGAUUCUACCUUUCAAUUUACUGGAAUCUGUGGUAUCUGCCAUGCUUGGCCUUUCAGGGCUUGACUUUCAGGAAAAAACUUUGGGGCCAGCUGGCCCCUAAGUUUUCACAUUUUGUUGCCAGUACAAGCAUUUUAGUUGCCAAAAAUUAUUGGCUCUGCAGGCCUUAUGCAUAUUUCCACAGAAUAGGCGUUACAACAGCACAAAUCACACGUUUUGCCUGGGUAACCAGUUACCAUUUUUUUUCAAUAAUAACAGGGAAAAUAGUUAAAAGCUUCCAUGUUGCAAGCUUUGAUUCAUUACUUGUCAUAAACUUGUGCUAAAGAAAGUUACAAUUACAGACUUAUUGAAACACAAAUUCAAUUGAAAACAAAACGAAAAUUAUGUAAAAUUGCCGACCUACAUUUGUCCAAGCGUGUCCUUGUUAACAUUGGCAUUCAAAAGUAGAAAUAAAAGCUUAAAAAUCCAUAGUAAA